rnacentral:rRNA from 1 species
CAUCACCGGUUCUCGUUAGAUCACCGAAGUCAAGCAUCAUUGAGCGCGGUCAGUACUUGGGUGGGUGACCACCUGGGAACACCGCGUGCCGUUA